rnacentral:lncRNA from 1 species
AAUCUCUAUGGAUGCUCUAUAGGCCUAAGCUUACUCUGUGUCCAGGAAACAACUCACCUCCUACCGGGACGUCGAGGCCUCCCCUACCUACCGGGACGUCGAGGCCUCCCCUACCUACCGGGACGUCGAGGCCUCCCCUACCUACCGGGACGUCGAGGCCCCCCUACCUACCGGGCGAGCGAGGCCUCCCCCCUACCUAACGGGACGUCGAGGCCUCCCCAACUACCGGACGUCGAGGCCCCCCUACCUACCGGGACCGACGAGGCUCCCCUACCUACCGGGACGUCGAGGCCUCCCCUACCUACCGGGACGUCGAGGCCUCCCCUACCUACCGGGACGUCGAGGCCCUCCCCUACCUACCGGGACGUCGAGGCCUCCCCUACCUACCGGGACUCGAGGCCUCCCUACCUACCGGGACGUCAAGGCCUCCUCUACCGGACGUCAAGGCCUACUCUAACCGGGACGUCAAGCCUCCUCACACGGGACGUCAAGGCCCCCUACCGGGCGUCAAGCCCCCUCUACUACCGGACGUCAAGGCCCCUCUACCGGGACGUCAGGCCUCCUCCUCUACCUACGGGACGUCAAGGCCUCCUCUACCGGACGUCAAGCCUCCUCUACCGGGACGUCAAGGCCUCCUCUACCGGGACGUCAAGGCCUCCUCUACCGGGACGUCAAGGCCUCCUCUACCAGGACGUUAAGGCCUCCUCUACCAGGACGUUAAGGCCUCCUCUACCAGACGUUAAGGCCCCUCUACCAGGACGUUAAGGCCUCCUCUACUAGAGUUAAGGCCUCCUCUACCAGGACGUUAAGGCUCCUCUACCAGGCAGAAGUUAGGCCUCCCUACCAGGACGUUAAGGCCUCCUCUACCAGGACGUUAAGGCCGCACCCACCUCUGCUACCAGGACGUGUGGCUGCAUCCUCUUUCUGAUUUCAUGAUGCGGACGAUGGCCGCCUCGAUCUCAUGCUUCCUGUCGUCAUCCACCUUCCUGCCGCGCGUCUCCUUCCUCUCUGGGUCCGACUCGCCCUGGCUAGCAGCGACUGGAGGAGAGAGACCGCAACCUUAGCACAGCGGAGGGAGGGCUGGCAACCCAGCGGAGGGGGGCUGGGGGGGCCCGCAACCUCAGCACAAGGCCACGUUCAGUAGCCGAACGUUGCAGAUAGAAAUACCACAAAUAAGCCCGCCAAUUAUUUUGCAAAACACGACAUGUCAGAGAAGCAUGUUUGUUCUAAAUAGCAUAUCUCUAUUUGCGCAUCCUUCCAGACCAGAAGACCACUGUGACAUGGGUCCUUUAAUCAUUUAGAAUAACAGAGACACACACCCGUCUGUAUUUUGACUCUGUGCACUUGGAGGUAAACUGAUCGUUGACUGUAAACACUGGCCGUUCUCGAUCUCCUUGGACUUGGGCUCCUUGGGAGAACGCGCUGGGGGGCUUCCGCAGGCCAGCGACUGCAGCGCUCGCACCAGCUCCCUCUCCGGGAUGUCGUUCUCCUGCUGGAUCUCCUACAGGUGGGGACGGAGUGGAAGAGAGGGUAAAGGAGGAGCAGAGGAGUGAAGAGGAAGUGGAGCGAAAAAAUGUGGGGAAGGAGGAGGAAGAAGAUUUGUUUUCUUUCAGCUUGCCAUAUUUAUCUGUGAAUUCUAACACUUUGAUGCGAUGGAGACUGACCUGUAUCUGGCUCUUACCUCAAACCGUGGACUUUUCUCUGUGUUGAGAGUAGGAGGAGGGUCAUCUGGAAGGUGGAGACCUGCAGUAUGUGCUUCCUGGUGUUAGAGCCCGUCACCUGGGCUCCUCCCACUCCCACCUCCGAACCAUCCUCCUGGAGAGACGGAGAGAGACUGUGACUGACCCAACUUGACUAUGUAAGACUCAGUGAGCAUAGCCUUGCUAUUGAGAAAGGGCCGUAG